rnacentral:rRNA from 1 species
AUAACCGCCGGCGGUGUGCCUAAUACAUGCAAGUCGUACGCACUGGCCCAACUGAUUGAUGGUGCUUGCACCUGAUUGACGAUGGAUCACCAGUGAGUGGCGGACGGGUGAGUAACACGUAGGUAACCUGCCCCGGAGCGGGGGAUAACAUUUGGAAACAGAUGCUAAUACCGCAUAACAACAAAAGCCRCAUGGCUUUUGUUUGAAAGAUGGCUUUGGCUAUCACUCUGGGAUGGACCUGCGGUGCAUUAGCUAGUUGGUAAGGUAACGGCUUACCAAGGCGAUGAUGCAUAGCCGAGUUGAGAGACUGAUCGGCCACAAUGGAACUGAGACACGGUCCAUACUCCUACGGGAGGCAGCAGUAGGGAAUCUUCCACAAUGGGCGCAAGCCUGAUGGAGCAACACCGCGUGAGUGAAGAAGGGUUUCGGCUCGUAAAGCUCUGUUGUUGGAGAAGAACGUGCGUGAGAGUAACUGUUCACGCAGUGACGGUAUCCAACCAGAAAGUCGCGGCUA